GAGCUUUUACUUGAUAAAAAUCUUAUAAAAUUUCUUUACAAAUAAUUUAUAAAGAAAUCACAGAAUUGGGCAGUUAUUAUUGUCAAGUUUGGUUCCA